AUGGAGCUGAGAGGUCAAAGGAAGAAGUCAAACCUGAAGAAGUGCAGGAAGAAUUACGGCUGCGUGUGUCCGGCUGGUUCAGGGGAUGUGCAGGGCGGCCGUUGCCAUGGGGGUGUCGAGGCAGGCGAUCUCGCGGAUGGAUGCCAUGCUGCGAGGGCAGGUUCCUGGGUGCCCGCCACGUCGAUGACGGAUUCCAUGCUGCGAGCGGCAACAAUCGGCGAUGGCGUGGGCGGCGUCUGGUGCAGUGGUGACGCAAGGCAGACAAACGUCGAGGUCAAGGAUGAGGGAGCAGAUUUGUUUGAGUUUUCUUAG
rnacentral:rRNA from 1 species